rnacentral:lncRNA from 1 species
CUGGAGCCCUUAUAAAAAGAGGGAAAUUUGGACACACACACAAGGAGAAUGCCAUGGUGAGACAGAGGCAGAGAUUGGAGUGAGGCUUCCACAAGCCAAGGAACACCAAGGAUUGUCGGCCUGCAGCAGAAGAACACCAGCUCUGGGGGGAAACUGACUACCCUGAGACUACCACGCUGUGAAUAAGCCUAAGGAAGCCACACUGACAGGUCCUGGAAAGUGAGAUGCAUGUGGAGAGAGAGGAUGAGGACCACAGCGGUGCCGGACAUGAAUGUAAAGAAGCCAUCUUGGAAGUGUAUCCUAUAUGGAUCAGAGAUGCACCUCUCAGUUGAGUCCUUUCUAAAUUCCUCAUCCAUGAAAUUGUGAACAAAAUAAAAUAUUUAUUUUAAGCCACAAGGUUUUGGAGUAGUUUGUUAUGCAGCAAUACAUAGCCCGAAUAGUAGAGAUUUGAAGGAGGGAAUUUCAGAGAGGUGUGAGCGUGAAGAAAGAGGA